AUUGAACGCUGGCGGCAUGCCUUACACAUGCAAGUCGAACGGUAACAGGUCUUCGGAUGCUGACGAGUGGCGAACGGGUGAGUAAUACAUCGGAACGUGCCUAGUAGUGGGGGAUAACUACUCGAAAGAGUGGCUAAUACCGCAUGAGAUCUACGGAUGAAAGCAGGGGAUCGCAAGACCUUGUGCUACUAGAGCGGCCGAUGGCAGAUUAGGUAGUUGGUGGGAUAAAAGCUUACCAAGCCGACGAUCUGUAGCUGGUCUGAGAGGACGAUCAGCCACACUGGGACUGAGACGCGGCCCAGACUCCUACGGGAGGCAGCAGUGGGGAAUUUUGGACAAUGGGCGAAAGCCUGAUCCAGCAAUGCCGCGUGCUGGAUGAAGGCCUUCGGGUUGUAAACUGCUUUUGUACGGAACGAAAAGCCCCGGGUUAAUACCCUGGGGUCAUGACGGUACCGUAAGAAUAAGCACCGGCUAACUACGUGCCAGCCGCCGCUGUAA
rnacentral:rRNA from 1 species